rnacentral:rRNA from 1 species
GCGCAAUGAAAGUGAAGCCCUCGCAAGAGGGUGACGGAGGAUCCCCUCCACACGUGGGAGGGGCGCACUCCGGGGGCGUCGCGUCCGCUUCGUCGGUGCGGCGCACCGUGAGCGCACACGUUGGGACCCGAAAGAUGGUGAACUAUGCCUGGCAAGGACGAAGCCAGAGGAAACUCUGGUGGAGGUCCGCAGCGAUUCUGACGUGCAAAUCGAUCGGAGGAGCUGGGUAUAGCGGCGAAAGACCAAUCGAACCAUCUAGUAGCUGGUUCCCCCCGAAAUUUCCCUCAGGAUAGCUGGUGCUCGUUGUCUCAGCGGACGAGUCUCAUCCGGUAAAGCGAAUGAUUAGAGGCCUUGGGGCCUAAACGACCUCAACCUAUUCUCAAACUUUCAAUGGGGUGAGACGCCGGGCUUGCUUGAGUGAAGCCACGGCAAUGUCGGAUCGCUGGAGUACCCAGUGGGCCAGCGUUUGGUAAGCAGAGCUGGUGCUGUGGGAUGAACCAAACGCCGGGUUAAGGCGCCCGACUGGACGCAAAUCGGAUCCCACGAAGGGUGUCGGUUGCUCCAGACAGCAGGACGGUGGCCAUGGAAGUCGGCACCCGCUAAGGAGUGUGUAACAACUCACCUGCCGAAGCAACCAGCCCUGAAAAUGGAUGGCGCUUUAGCGUCCGGCCCAUACCCGGCCGCCGGGACAGAGCCGGUCCUCUCAAGGGCCCGUACGUCCCGGUGAGUAGGGGGGCGUGGCGGUGAGCGUCGAAGGGGUCGGGGCGUGAGCCCGCCUGGAGCCGCCGUCGGUGCAGAUCUUGGUGGUAGUAGCAAAUGCUCGAGUGA